rnacentral:rRNA from 1 species
AUAAAGGUUUGGUCCUGGCCUUUUUAUUGGCUCUUAGUAGACUUACACAUGCAAGUAUCCRUNCYCCRGUGAGAAUGCCCUCUAUAUCAACAUGAUCAAAAGGAGCAGGUAUCAAGCACACUAUUACUCGUGUACUAGUUGCUCAUAACACCUUGCUUAACCACACCCCCACGGGACGCAGCAGUGAUAAAAAUUAAGCCAUGAACGAAAGUUCGACUAAGUCAUACUACCAUCAGGGUUGGUAAAUUUCGUGCCAGCCACCGCGGUCAUACGGUUAACCCUAGUCAAUAAAGAUUCGGCGUAAAGCGUGAUUAAAANAUAAACUUAAUAAGACUAAGCUUAGACGAAGCUGUAAAAUGCCCUYGUCAUAAUAAAAAUAAUCUAACGAAAGAAGUCUUAGAACUUUUGAAUUCACGAUAGCUAAGACCCAAACUGGGAUUAGAUACCCCACUAUGCCUAGCCCUAAACAUAAACAAUCAACUAACAAGAUUGUUCGCCAGAGAACUACUAGCCACAGCUUAAAACUCAAAGGACUUGGCGGUGCUUUACACCCCUCUAGAGGAGCCUGUUCUAUAAUCGAUAAACCCCGAUACACCUUACCACCUCUCGCACGAAYCAGCCUAUAUACCGCCAUCUUCAGCAAACCUUAAUAAAGCCUCAUAGUAAGCACAACUAUAUUACAUAAGUACGUUAGGUCAAGGUGUAGCCAAUGAGGUGGAAAGUAAUGGGCUACAUUUUCUACCAUACUAGAACUGANNNNNNNNNUAGCUUUSAUGAAACCUCAAAGCUCAAGGCGGAUUUAGUAGUAAGUUAAGAAUAGAGAGCUUAACUGAAUAGGGCAAUAAAGCACGCACACACCGCCCGUCACCCUCUUCAAAUCCUACAAACAANNNNNNNNNNNNNNNNNNNNNNUCAGAUAUAUAGCAUGAGAAGAGACAAGUCGUAACAAGGUAAGCAUACUGGAAAGUGUGCUUGGGAUAAU